AUAACAUCUGGUGGAUUAAAAGAGAAAAGAAAAUUGCCUUUCAUCAUUUUUAUACUCAUAUAUAUACGUUUGAGAACGUGUUUAUCAUAGUGAAAAUAGUAAAUGAAACUGGAGAAAUCAGUAAUAACUUUUUCAGUAGUGAAUUUCAGAUUUAGCUCAGUUCAUAUCAGCCUGACUGUUAAUCAAGGCUGAAAUUCUGGAAAGCAUCACUUUUUUUGAUGGUUCAUGUUUGGUAGACAGACUAGGAAAAUCCAGUUCUAUCUAUUCAAAAUGUGUUCGUAGUUAAGUCUGGCCUGUUCCAAUGACUACAUCUGUGAAGUCAAAAAAGUGAAUAAACCUCAGGAAUAGCAUUAACAAAAUGCAAAAUGCUGUCCAAAUGCCUUGGUGUCAGGAGCUGCUGAUGGGGUGCUCAGUUUGAAGAAUUUAGGAAGGAUCUGAUGUUUCAUUGGGCCCAUUUGUGAAGAAACUUGGAUUCAUAUAAACAAGAAACAAAUAGAAGUAACUUUUUAAGAUUUGGUUGUAUAAAUAUAGCCCCUGGAACAUGCCAACACUGAGCCACCACAAACUAAGCAGGAUCUGCAGUGGUUAAAUUCACUGCCUGUUGCUAUCAAGUCUUCCCAAAAUAGUUUCUUGGAAUGAAAUCACAACCAUGCAUAUGACACGGAUAUCAAAAUCACAGACACAAAAUUACAGGUUUCCACACUGCUUAUGUAGGUAUUUUGUCUCUAUUCUGGAAAUGUUGAUUUAAAGGUUGAAUGGUGAAGGUUUUCAAAACCCUACUCCCUCACACCUUUAAAGCUUACAAGAAAAUGUAGUGUAACUGCAUAUACACCUAUCUAGAAGUCUGUCCUCUUCUAGACAGGUGAGCACUGAAUUCUGCAAGUCUGUCUACCCAGUGUCAUGUGUUUCUAUGCCUGUUAUUGUUCUUUUUUAGAAGUAAAAACUGUACAAUGUCUUUUUAGUCAGCAGGAACUCCACAGCUGAAAGACUCUUACAUGCAAACAGAUUCAGCUGAAGCUUUGGUGUCUUACAGCCAUCAAAAAUUCAUGGGAGAGAUAAAAACCACUGGUACUCUGAUACUAGAAUUCUGAUGAUGAUAUUUUUCACAGUUAAGCUUUCAUAUUUUCUGUCUGAACAUAGGUAACUGUCUUUCCCAUGAUCAGUGUGAAUUCUCUGAUACUCUGAGUUUCUCUACAUUUUCUACUGCUUAAGUGUAAUUUGUAAUAGAAUAAUUUGUAUGCAAAGUCAGUUGGACUUGACAUAAUCCAUUGAAAAUCAAGCUAUUGGUGCAUACAGAAAUACUUGUUAGUAGUAUUUAAACAUUUAGUUUUGCAAUUUUUGAAAGCUAUUAGGAAAUGUAAUAAUGUUACAGAAAAGCUUAAUGUAAUCUAGGGUUUUUUUCUGGCUUUGCAGAUAGGACAAUUACUUUUAUUUUUUUUUAAUAUCCUUCCUUAGAGGAGAAACUGAUGUAAAUUUUCCUUGUCUUGCAUUUUCAUGUGGCUUAUUUUCUGUAUGUAUGCUCCUACUGUACUCUAUUUAAGCUAUGAUGCUAAAAAGUGAUGUUUAGAAGAAAGUAACGUGCUUUUGGUUUGAUCAGUGUGUGGUACAAUUUACAAGUUAAACAGUAAAAAUGUAAUAAAAAGUUUUUUCAUUACUAACGGGAAUAUGCAGCUCGCUGGGGGUGAAAAACUGUGGAUGCUCAUUUGUCAUCUCAUCUACAUCUGGUUUUGUAUGGGUAACUUACAGUUUUGUAUCAGCUAACUUAUAGUUUUCUAAACCCCUGAUGUUUUCAGAAACCCUUGAAUAGACUCCAGAUUUUUAGUACUCAUAAAUCUGUUGUACUUUUUAAAAAAAGUUUUUAUUUCAUAUAGUCUGUAAUAUCCAUCAGUCUAAGAAAAUUGGGCUGGAACUUAGCUGAAGGAUGACGGAUAGUCUUAGUGGAGAUCCUGAAUGCAAUUUGACUACAGCCUCUAUUGAGAACAUAGCAUUUGUCACAUAUAACUAGUAUGGUCAAUGCAUCUUGAGGAGUUUACACAGAUUUUUCUGAGUUCCAAAGGAAACGUCAGUUUUAAGCUUAUUAGGAAUUUUGCAAAGAAUAUUUGACCUGUAUGUGUAUCUGCAUCUUAAGGAAACAAGCAACUGGUAGGUUUCUUUAAUACACUUUUUAUAGUAUGUAAGUCUCAUUUUCUCUGCUUAGCCUGAGACUCCAACUACUUGCACCAGUCUUGUAUUUAUUAGUGUAAAAGUAUGUAAUUAGUUUUACUUUGUUUAUUUGAAAAAAGUGUAGAUGCUUUAAAAAAGUUUUUAAAACCCCAUUAAUAGUUGUCAGUACAGAAAUUAGGGGAAAUCUUCAAAACAGAAGUAUGUAAUAUUAUGUGAUAAUGCAGUCCUUAGUCCCUGAACUACUCCUCACAGUACAAGGAGUUUUCAACAUAAGUUAUGAGAUCAGUGCUGGUGUCUAGCAAACACAUAAAGAACAGGUAAUGGAAAAGGGAGGGCACCAACAGUAGCACCUGCGGUUUUCAAACAAAAGCAGUAAAAUCUGUAUGAUUUUAGCCAAAGUGGCUGUGACAAAUGCUGUCAAAGGGAUUUUCAGAUUCAUCACUGUCUGUCACAAGAAAUGCUCAUGAUCUGAAUUGUGAACUUUAUUUAGGUGAAGACUUUGGGAAUUGUGUUCCUGGCAUCUCUUACCUACUGUAGAUAUGGACAAUGUAACAGUUGUGGGAUGUAUCUGCAUGGAGUGGAACAAAGCAAGGAUGGAAUAUGGGAAGCUGGCAGAAGAAUGAGGCUGAAAACCAGAACAAAAAAAAAAAGGAGCAUCAAGGACAGGACUCCAGCAUAGCUGUGUUGACCAUGAGAAGGGUUACAGAAGAAAAUUAAUCAGAGAUGGUGCUGGUGACAGCCAGGGAAUACAGCCUGGGUGGCUGACUGGAAAAAAAAAUGGUCUACUGAGAGAUGUGAUAAUAGAAAUCUGCUGCUCUGGCUUCACUCAUGCAAUCUCAACAAGUUGAAGGGUCCCUGCAUUGCUCAUGUCUGUAGGACAGGCAGAAAGGGAACAUACGCUCUAAAAAAAAGAGAAGAUGGAGCUCAGUUACACAUGUAUAGAAUAAAUGAGAAAAAGUGACGGCUCCAUAAGACACGUUGUACCAUAAAUGCACAUGUGCCCAUUUAGGUGUGUGUUGUGACAGUAACAGAUGUCUAAUUUCUGUUUUCACAUAUUAUUUUCUUGUUUGAUCUUAGCUCUGAGUUUCAAUGUCUUGUGUGCUUUAAAGCUGUGCUUGUCCAAAAUGCAUUUUAAGUACAAAUAAAAAUAAAUUUAUCAUUU